rnacentral:rRNA from 1 species
UACGGAGGGGGCGAGCGUUGUCCGAAGUUACUGGGCGUAAAGCGCGCGUAGGCGGGAGGGUAAGUCCGCUGUGAAAGCCUGGAGCUCAACUCCAGUGGGUCGGUGGAGACUGCUCUUCUUGAAGGUGCCAGGGGAAGAUGGAAUUACCGGUGUAGCGGUGAAAUGCGUAGAGAUCGGGAGGAAGGCCGGUGGCGAAGGCGGCGCUCUGGAACGUUUCUGACACUGAGGCUCGGAAAGCGUG